UUUCAACACUAUUCCAUAUACUAUUGCUGUUGGAUUGACAUGAGGUGCCAUCAUGGAUCCCUACAUUAACGAAGAAACAUUGAUAAAACAUGUAAGCAGGAAACGAAACAUACAUGUUGCUAUAUAUACCUGGAGCAUGAUAAGUUAUUAAUUAUGAUUUGUUUACAUGCAAGGGAUUUGAAUCAAUGCGUGCAAAUGAUCAUUACCUGAGACAGACUGAGAAGAUAAACACCAUUGCCGGAUUGUCCUAGAGAAGAAUAAUCCGACUCAUCCAACUUCUUGC
rnacentral:lncRNA from 1 species